CCCUUAGAUGUUCUGGGCUGCACGCGUGCUACAAUGGCGCUUGCAACAAGAUUGCCAACCCGAAAGGGUGAGCGGAUCUUUGAAGUGGCGUCGUGAUCGGGACAGUUGAUUGCAAUUAUUCGACUCGAACGAGGAAUUCCUUGUAAUCGCGAUUCAUCAUAUCGCGCUGAAUACGUCCCUGCCCUUUGUACACACCGCCCGUCGCUCCUACCGAUUGGGUGUGCUGGUGAAAUGUUCGGAUCGGCCGUUUGUCGCGGUUUCCGCGUCAUGUGGCUGAGAAGUUCAUUAAACCCUCCCACCUAGAGGAAGGAGAAGUCGUAACA
rnacentral:rRNA from 1 species